AAGUCGUAACAAGGUUUCCGUAGGUGAACCUGCGGAAGGAUCAUUAACACGUAUCCAACGUUAAACCCCCCGUGAACCUUCAGUGCGCUCGCACUUUCUUAGAAAAGGUAGCAAUCCCUGGUAAAUCAUUGCCGAACAGUUUUGAUUCAGGGACUUCUGCGUAGACUGUGCCUGGCAUUCCUCUGCUUGUUGGUGUCUGAAAGUGUCACCAGCUCUGUACGAAUGGCGCAGUCACGAUCGCUAGAGGCCGACACGGCCGGCGACCGGGUCACUGGGCGCGAGCCCCCCUCGUCACCUUUGCAUGAAAACGGGCCUGCGCUUAAUUGUGCGGCCACCAAACUCGACAACUGUUAACAAUGGAUAUCUUGGUUCUC
rnacentral:misc_RNA from 1 species